AGGGUGCGUAGGCGGCCUGUUAAGUCAGGGGUGAAAGACGGUAGCUCAACUAUCGCAGUGCCCUUGAUACUGAUGGGCUUGAAUUGACUAGAGGUAGGCGGAAUGUGACAAGUAGCGGUGAAAUGCAUAGAUAUGUCACAGAACACCGAUUGCGAAGGCAGCUUACUAUGGUCUUAUUGACGCUCCGAGGCACGAAAGCGUGGGGAUCAAACAGGAUUAGAUACCCGUGU
rnacentral:rRNA from 1 species